CAUCACAGACUUCCCCCACGUGGACAGAGAGGUGUUUCCAGAGAAAUCUAACCCAGGCAGGAGGGGAACACCUUCCAGCAGGUGGUCCAGGAAAAAAAGUCUAAAGAAAAAGCAGUGUUGGUCACCUGCCAUCCCUUGGUCUGGAGCCAGUGUGUCCCCGUCUCUGCUGUCACUGACCUCUUCUGACGUCAGACUCAAGCCUCUUCAGCUGCUUUUAACAUGAACUGAACACCAGUGACUCAUCAGGAAUUUUCCAGACCUUCAGCACCAGAUUGAGACUGCUGAGGUGAUCAACUUUGUGGAUGAAACAGCAUCUCUAAUGUUGUGAAGUUAUGAACAUAGCAGAUGUGACAGUGAUGGAUUGCAGCUCCAUGUGAGGACACCCUCCAUAUUUGGAGGUGUGCAAAGGACACCCAGAAGCCUGUCAGCACUUCCAGAGACGCACCUACCUCCACACCACAAGACAUGGAUGAGUGGAAGACGCCCUGAGGCCAGCCCACUGCCACACAGCAUGGACAGGAUAUAGACAACCAGAGGCCCAGCCACCACCAGGCCACAUGGCAUGGGUGGGCAGAGGACAACCCAGAGACCACUGUGAUGUGCCAGUAUGUGGUGGACAGAUGGGAGAAAAGAAGUGGACCAGUUUGAGUAUUCUGAAGAGAGGUGGGACUGGAGACAAGAGGGUGAGGAAGACUAUCCUGUUGGAAGCAACCUGCUCCACCACCUGAGGCCAUGGUAAAGUCCCAGCCCAUGCUGCUGCAAGGGCCAUGUCUGAGUCCAAGGCCAUGGGG